GACGAACGCUGGCGGCGUGCCUAAUACAUGCAAGUCGAACGAGAGCGACCGGUGCUUGCACUGGUCAAUCUAGUGGCGAACGGGUGAGUAACACGUGGGUAACCUGCCCAUCAGAGGGGGAUAACAUUCGGAAACGGAUGCUAAAACCGCAUAGGUUCUUGAGUCGCAUGACUGAAGAAGGAAAAGAGGCUUCGGCUUCUGCUGAUGGAUGGACCCGCGGUGCAUUAGCUAGUUGGUGAGGUAACGGCUCACCAAGGCCGUGAUGCAUAGCCGACCUGAGAGGGUGAUCGGCCACAUUGGGACUGAGACACGGCCCAAACUCCUACGGGAGGCAGCAGUAGGGAAUCUUCCGCAAUGGACGCAAGUCUGACGGAGCAACGCCGCGUGAGUGAAGAAGGAUUUCGGUUCGUAAAACUCUGUUGUUAGAGAAGAACAGCGCAUAGAGUAACUGUUAUGCGUGGGACGGUAUCUAACCAGAAAGCC
rnacentral:rRNA from 1 species